rnacentral:lncRNA from 1 species
CAGAGCUGAGAGUCACAGCAGGUGGGGCCUGGGCCUGGAGGAUGGAGCUAAGAACCAAAGAGGCAGAACCUAGCCUAGACAAGGGAGUGGAAAACCACAGAGUGCUGUUCCCAAGUCCUUGCAACUUCUUGAAAUUUGUCCUGCUGCAUCUCUAAUUUGGUUGGGAUCAAGGUAUUUGGCAGCUGCUGGAAAGUUUUCCACAUCCAGUGAUUGGCUGCAUUUGGUGGACACAGGGACUCAUCACUAUAUGAACUUUAAAGGGAUACAGCUUGUGAAAAAUUCCUCUGAUAAAAGUCAAGGCUACUUCAAGGUAAUUAAAACACACAGGUGUGUUUGUGGCAUGUUGACUUAACUUAUUCAAAAGCAUCUCUCCCAUGUAUCUGCUGAGAUGCUUGAAAUUCCCAACUUUGGCUGAGGCAUUGAAGGCUCCAG